rnacentral:rRNA from 1 species
GUGAAAUUGUUGAAAGGGAAGCGCAUGCAAUCAGACUUGCACUUGGUGUUCAUCAGGGUCUCGUACCCUGUGUACUUCAUCAAGUUCAGGCCAGCAUCAGUUUGAGUGGUUAGAUAAAGGCUUAGAGAAUGUGGCCCUCUUCGGGGGGUGUUAUAGCUCUAGGUGCAAUGUAGCCUACUUGGACUGAGGACCGCGCUCCGGCUAGGAUGCUGGCGUAAUGGUUGUAAGCGACCCGUCUUGAAACACGGACCAAGGAGUCA